UACGUAGGAGGCAAGCGUUGUCCGGAAUUAUUGGGCGUAAAGAGCUCGUAGGCGGUUUGUCGCGUCGAAUGUGAAAACCCGGGGCUCAACCCCGGGCCUGCAUUCGAUACGGGCAGGCUAGAGUUCGGUAGGGGAGACUGGAAUUCCUGGUGUAGCGGUGAAAUGCGCAGAUAUCAGGAGGAACACCGGUGGCGAAGGCGGGUCUCUGGGCCGAUACUGACGCUGAGGAGCGAAAGCGUGGGGAGCGAACAGG
rnacentral:rRNA from 1 species